UAAUAAUGGAGGUGGCUCAGUACGAGGGUGCAGGCAGAGCGGUGAGUCACUGGCUCUGAAGAGCAGAGAGCAGCGUUGAAUAAUGCAGCCUCGCGGUGUUGCUGGUGGUGGGUGUGUGCGUCUUUUGGCUGGU